rnacentral:rRNA from 1 species
GUCUAUAGUCAUACCACCCUGAACGUGCCCUAUCUCAUCUACUCUUGGAAGCUAAGCAGGGUUGGGCCUGGUCAGCACUCGGAUGGGAGAAAUAUAUAUAAAUAUGGCUU